rnacentral:rRNA from 1 species
AGAAGAAAGUGACGGUACCUGCAGAAGAAGCGACGGCUAAAUACGUGCCAGCAGCCGCGGUAAUACGUAUGUCGCAAGCGUUAUCCGGAAUUAUUGGGCAUAAAGGGCAUCUAGGCGGCCAGACAAGUCUGGGGUGAAAACUUGCGGCUCAACCGCAAGCCUGCCCUGGAAACUGUUUGGCUAGAGUGCUGGAGAGGUGGACGGAACUGCACGAGUAGAGGUGAAAUUCGUAGAUAUGUGCAGGAAUGCCGAUGAUGAAGAUAGUUCACUGGACGGUAACUGACGCUGAAGUGCGAAAGCUAGGGGAGCGAACAGGAUUAGAUACCCUGGUAGUCCUAGCUGUAAACGAUGAUUACUGGGUGUGGGCAUGAAGAGUGUCCGUGCCGAAGCUAAUGCGAUAAGUAAUCCGCCUGGGGAGUACGGCCGCAAGGCUGAAACUCAAAGGAAUUGACGGGGACCCGCACAAGCGGUGGAGCAUGUGGUUUAAUUCGACGCAACGCGAGGAACCUUACCAGAUCUUGACAUCCUACGUAUGCCUGUGAGAGUAGGCAGUGCCUUCGGGAACGUGGAGACAGGUGGUGCAUGGCUGUCGACAGCUCGUGUCGUGAGAUGUUGGGUUAAGUCCCGCAACGAGCGCAACCCCUAUCGCUAGUUGCCAUCAUUAAGUUGGGGACUCUAGCGAGACUGCCUGCGAAGAGCAGGAGGAAGGUGGGGAUGACGUCAAGUCAUCAUGCCCCUUAUGAUCUGGGCUACACACGUGCUACAAUGGCCGGUACAAAGAGCUGCAAAACGGUAACGUUUAGCCAAUCUUUAAAGCCGGUCCAAGUUCGGAUUGAAGUCUGCAACUCGACUUCAUGAAGCCGGAAUCGCUAGUAAUCGCAGAUCAGCAAUGCUGCGGUGAAUACGUUCUCGGGUCUUGUACACACCGCCCGUCACACCACGAGAGUUGUUUGCACCUGAAGCCGCCCGG